GUAGGUGGCAAGCGUUGUCCGGAAUUAUUGGGCGUAAAACGCGCGCAGGCGGUUCUUUAAGUCUGAUGUGAAAGCCCACGGGCUCAACCGUGGAGGGUCAUUGGAAACUGGAGAACUUGAGUACAGAAGAGGAAAGCGGAAUUCCACGUGUAGCGGUGAAAUGCGUAGAGAUGUGGAGGAACACCAGUGGCGAAGGCGGCUUUCUGGUCUGUAACUGACGCUGAGGCGCGAAAGCGUGGGGAGCAAACAGGAUUAGAUACCCUGGUAGUCCACGCCGUAAACGAUGAGUGCUAAGUGUUAGGGGGUUUCCGCCCCUUAGUGCUGCAGCUAACGCAUUAAGCACUCCGCCUGGGGAGUACGGCCGCAAGGCUG
rnacentral:rRNA from 1 species